AACCUAUGGUGAGGACACUGUCUCUAUAAUUCCUUGAAUCUCUCCCAUGCUUUAUACAAUGUCUCAUCAUUUCUCUGGUAAAAAGUAUUUACCUCAUUUCUUAGUUU